UCUUACAUCUGGUAAGAGACUUAUGCGGAUAACCACCGCGUACCUAGGAGAACUAGGAUUGGACUCCUAUUAGAGGAGAAACAAAAUG
rnacentral:ncRNA from 1 species